AUCCAGCUGACGAGUCCCAAACGGGACGAAAUGAGUAUCCUGGAU
rnacentral:hammerhead_ribozyme from 1 species